GAUGAACGCUGGCGGCGUGCCUAAUACAUGCAAGUCGAGCGAACGGACGAGAAGCUUGCUUCUCUGAUGUUAGCGGCGGACGGGUGAGUAACACGUGGAUAACCUACCUAUAAGACUGGGAUAACUUCGGGAAACCGGAGCUAAUACCGGAUAAUAUUUUGAACCGCAUGGUUCAAAAGUGAAAGACGGUCUUGCUGUCACUUAUAGAUGGAUCCGCGCUGCAUUAGCUAGUUGGUAAGGUAACGGCUUACCAAGGCAACGAUGCAUAGCCGACCUGAGAGGGUGAUCAGCCACACUGGAACUGAGACACGGUCCAGACUCCUACGGGAGGCAGCAGUAGGGAAUCUUCCGCAAUGGGCGAAAGCCUGACGGAGCAACGCCGCGUGAGUGAUGAAGGUCUUCGGAUCGUAAAACUCUGUUAUUAGGGAAGAACAUAUGUGUAAGUAACUGUGCACAUCUUGGCGGUACCUAAUCAGAAAGCCACGGCUAACUACGUG
rnacentral:rRNA from 1 species